GCUUACGGCCACACCUCCCUGAGCAAGCCCGUCUCGUCUGAUCUCGGAAGCUAAGCAGGGUCGGGCCCGGUUAGUACUUGGAUGGGAGACCGCCUGGUAAUACCAGGUGCUGUAAGCC
rnacentral:rRNA from 1 species